GCGGCCGUAAGCGCCGAAGAACAGAAGGACCUUCUCUGAAAAGUACUGAAGGUGCUAGCGAUGCAAAAAAAGAGGGAGGGGCAAGGGGCCUGAGUUUUAAGGGCAUGAACCCAUCAGGAUGUUUAGCUAAGAGAUUUUAAAAGCUUCUAAAGCUGCAGCACGAAAUCCUAAGGCCCUGCCUAGAGAAGCUGAAGGGAAAAGGUUCUGGAGUUUAGAACUUGAAGCCAGUCGGCUGACAACUCUAGAUUGAAAGAAUAUAUGCCUCCAUACCAGCAGUGAAACCCUCUGACGUAUGCUACCAGUUCUGUGAGUCUGCUACUGAGCGCACACUUUGCGCAUGCAUGCGCACCUGAGACCCACCUGCGCAGCACUAAAAAAGGAACAUUUUGAAGCCUUCCGAGUCUGCAAAGGUAAGUAGAACAGUUGGGGGAGAGUGGGAAAACCACUGUGCCAUGCAAUUUAGAUUAACUAGAAAGUAGGAAAUCCCAACGAUUCUAGAAUAGUCAGAAAUACCUGUUCAGCCGAACCGGUAGCAUUUUUUACUAUCGGUUCUCCUGAACGGGUCCAAACCGGUAGCAUUUCACCCUGCUCCAUACUAUAUAGCUAUUCUUAAGGAACAGUCCUACUGGUUCAAACUGCCUAUCCUUGUGUGGUUUGCCAUGGAAACUGCUUCUGAAGCUGGUUUAUCUAUAGCUAAUGAAUUCCACUGAAGGAACCAUCAGAAAUCAAACAUCACAAGUGCAACUUUCAUGGCAACUUUUAUGCAAUUACAUUUUUCAAUGGACUGUCCUUUUAUAUUCUUAAAAAGAAGCUUUCAGCACAUCUUGAGAAAGCAUAAUAAAAGUUUUAAUCCAUCAUGGCACUUUAAUGGCCUAAACAGGAAAAAAAAGUUAUAUUCUGGAAUAAAGUUAGCAGUAUAAAUACCAUAAUAAAUAAAUUAUUGUGGGCUUUUUCAGGAUCAUAUGAGGCCAGCAUACAGUGAUCAAAGAGUAGCUGGAUGUCUGUUCAGGUAUAGCUAGGAUGAUCUGUGCGGGUAUAAAUAGCAGAUAAGAAAAGGUCCUUGCCACUUGAUCCUUUCACUGGUGAUUAGUCACUGAAUUUCAGAAUACAAAACAAGUGCUCCUUUAUUGAGCUAUUAUGAGAUCAGUUCAAACAUCAUGCUAAGGUGUGGUUGGCCUGAUCCAAUUAUUGAGUAAACCAUAGGGAUGCACACAGCAUGUUAAAUCAUAAACACUGGCUUACAAUAGCUAGAUUUAUAUGACAUGCAAAAUCCAAACUACAUUUCAGAUUGGAAAAUCAUGUGAACCAGAUUUUUUACAAAUCUUUAAAAAUUUUAGACAAAGCUAGAUUACAACUGGGAUCAAGGAGAGGGAGGUUGUUGUUUCAGAUAGUGCUGAAGAGAACAGUGGCAUAUUUGCUGCUCAAUGUCACCUGAAAUACAAAGCUGCUUUUAAAAGUAAUGGGUCAGAAGCUGACCCAUUAUCAGCAAUUCAUUUGCCAGUUCAAUCAGCUCUUAUACAAGGGAGGGAGGCACAGCAUCAUCUUGUCCUUCAUCUCAGAAAUUCAAGUUGAAAAGCUUCCCAUCUUUGCAUUUGCUUAGGUCCAGGAGCUACAGAAAAAACAGUUGACUGAGGAAGAUAAAAUUGCACUUUUCAGGUAACUGAGUGGUAUCACCCAAAAGGCCAAUCUGCUUUUUAUUGUUCCAGGGAACCAGACGCAGAAUUGCAGUCUUCAGUUUCUGGAAGGCAGAUUCUUGUUAAGCAUUAAGAAAAAUCUCCUAUUAAGUAAUCUGUCAAUGGAAUGUAUUACUAAGGGAGGUGGGGACAUUCUCUUUAUUGCAUUUCUUCAGAUGGAGAUUGGAAAGCCAUCUACAUGGGAAGCUUUGACCGGCAUUCCUGCACAGAGCAGGAGUUUGGACUAAUGAAACAAAUGUUAAAAAGUUAAAAUAUGUAUGUAAUCACUUAUCAAGCACAUCUAAAUGAUAUUAAAGUAACCAAAAUAUCUUUACAAUCCCCAAGGCAUAUCACAACUUUUGACUACCCCUAAUGUUUGGAAAUUGAAAGUUGAAAAAUUUGACACACCCUAAAACAUUAACUGACUUUUACAACUCUAGGAUUCCUGGGCAAUGUUAUUUCUAAAUUUAUAAAGAAGUACAAUACCAACACCAACACAAACACCAAUAUUCUAAUGCAGUCCUGCUACCCAAGCCUUUAGAUUUGUUUUUGGUGUGGGAUUGUGUCUUACCUACUAUGUCCUCGUAAUGUGCUUGAAAAGUAGAUUGAGCUAAGAGAUAGUGGCUAAAACCCAUGAGUUUUGUCACUGAGAGGGAAUUGUAUACUUACAAUAUGCCUUAUAUUGUAUACUUACAAUAUGCCUUACAAAAUUGUUCUGCUCUCCAGAUAUAUCCUUUGAUCCCUAUCAGUAACUUAAUAAAGCCAGUGCCAAGGAAUUGUAGGAAAUGUAGUUCAAAACGUGGAAAACACUGUUGCCACUUGAUACUACACUAUUCUAAUGCCAACAGCACAAUAAAUUUAAAAAGCAACAUAAUAUAUAAUAUAUUUGCAUAACAGAAUCACCAAGCUAAAUGCAGUCUCCCAGCCAUGGAUAGUAGCUUGUCAGGAGCUUAAUACAGACCAUGUAUUUAUUCAUUCACUUGCUUUGUCCUGCAUGAUGAAGCUACAUUUAGCUUGAUGGGUCACAUAUCAGGCAGAUAUCUCUGAUUCAACACUUGGAACUGCCUGUUUGUGCUUCCAUGAAAUCUAUCUUAAAGAAUAUUGUUUUUAUUACCUCAAUAUCAAAUUGAAACGCAGGGUGAUAAUGUUGACCUCACUUACUCAAGCAGAGAUUUAAAAUUCUCCCUAACUAUUUGUUCCUGCAACAAGUGUGCACCAAUGUUAUAAAAAAUAAUGCAAUCACAUUUAUAAUGAAAGAAUAUGCUUAGCUGCCUUUAAGAAACAGCUAUAUAUCCAAAUUCUGUUGUUUAAAAAAGGGGGUUCAACGUUCUGGGUUAAGCCUUUUCAUGUGUAUUUGAGAAGAAUGCUGACAUACAUGUAUUGCAAUUAAGUGGUAGUAAAAAACUUUUUAUGAUAUAUGAGUUGUUUCAGGCUUUCCUUAAGUUGGUUCCAUUCAGAGGUUUUUGCCUACAAUUCCCAUCAUACCUAAUAAGGCUCUUGAAACUAUAACCAAUACAUCCAGGCUUGACAUGAGGGGUCCUUGGUCCUCUUUGAGCUGGGUUGUUUUCUUGCAGAUGUUUCAUUACUCAAACUAGGUAACAUCAUCAAUGCACU